UACACCUUAUAAAAAAAUAUAUAGGUAUUCUUAGCUUAACUACUAUAAGGUAGGUAGUAUUAAAAGGAACAUUGUAAUGACGGCAUCGUUAUCGAGAAAUGAAAAACCAUUUUGCUAGGAAACGACUAUAAUUAAAUACUAUAAACAACAGUGUUAAUUUAUCAUUGCAACCCGUUAGCCGUUGUUCUCUGCUGACAACAUCAGGUGCCCAGAGUGUCAGUUUCUCUAUAGUCGUAACGUGCUCGUGCGUGAAAAAGCGCCAAAAACAAGAUUUUAUAAUUUAUAAGCUAAACAUAAAUGUAUGGAAAUCUAUAAAAUUGCUUAUAAUAUAUCAAUAUCCAAAUCAUCAUGUUUUAAUUUCAAAUAAAAAGAAGAAAAACUGAGGAACAUUUUAUUUAUUGUUGGCUUCAAGUACUAUAUUGAUUUUAAAAUACUGGAACUCGUAUUUUUUUCGUUGUAUACUCAGUUAACGAGACAUAAUAACACGUAGUUUAACACCCGGAGGUCAACCCAGAAGUUAUCUACAAGGUCGGAAGAACAUUGAUUAUAAAUUGUUUAUUGUUCUCGCAUUAAUAAACAUGUUUAAUAUACUAUAUCGAUUUAAAAUUUGAAAAAAAUGGCACGUUUUAUUGCUUUAGGAAACCGGACGAGAUAACGACGACUUCCGUUUGUCACUGUUAAGUGAAAGUAAAUGUCAUCGUCACCUUCCAAUACAAAACGAUGAAGGUUAUGAGUAUUUCGUAUAUUUUUUCAAUUAUGGAAGAAAAUAGAAGAGCCGUGGAUCAUGUGUGUUUUUUAGUUAAUAUACGAAAGUAACGACACUUUAAAGUAUCCAAUAAUGAAAAAAAUGCUAUAAUCAGAAUGAUGUAGCAUGUGUGUAAAUCUGUAAAUGCCGCUGAAUGGCUUUAAAUUUUAAGAACAAAAUAACUGCAACUUCAUUCUCACUCGGCCGCUGCUUUUAUUAUCUUCUAAA